rnacentral:tRNA from 1 species
GGAGGGCUGUCCGAGCGGCCGAAGGAGCCGGUCUUGAAAACCGGUGUGCGGCAACCCCGUACCAAGGGUUCGAAUCCCUUGCCCUCCG